UGGGAAUUUUGGACAAUGGCGCAAGCCUGAUCCAGCAAUGCCGCGUGCAGGAUGAAGGCCUUCGGGUUGUAAACUGCUUUUGUACGGAACGAAAAGCCUCUCUCUAAUACAGGGGGGUGAUGACGGUACCGUAAGAAUAAGCACCGGCUAACUACGUGCCAGCAGCCGCGGUAAUACGUAGGGUGCAAGCGUUAAUCGGAAUUACUGGGCGUAAAGCGUGCGCAGGCGGUUUUGUAAGACAGUGGUGAAAUCCCCGGGCUCAACCUGGGAACUGCCAUUGUGACUGCAAGGCUGGAGUGCGGCAGAGGGGGAUGGAAUUCCGCGUGUAGCAGUGAAAUGCGUAGAUAUGCGGAGGAACACCGAUGGCGCGAGGGAGCGAUAC
rnacentral:rRNA from 1 species